GCCUCGGUGGCGGAAUUGGUAUACGCGUUGGACUUAAAAUCCAAUGCCUUCACUGGCUUGUGGGUUCGAGUCCCACCCGAGGCA
rnacentral:tRNA from 1 species